CCCAUAGACUGCUUUGACCGCGUUUAGUUUGAUGUUGACAGUAUGGAGGCUGUGGACCAUUUUUUUACAGUCUAUGCUGUGGACUGGAGCAGUUAAAAGACACUUUUAAAAAUAAAUGUGAAAAUUGGAAUUAAAUCUUUUUCUAAUACUCUAAUUUUUUACAGAAAACUACGCUGUUUACUUAGGGUAAAUAAUAAGAUAAAUAAUUUAUUAAUAUUUUAAUAAAUCACUUAAGUAACGUUACAAUGUCAAAAUAAAAGCCAAUUAUUUAAUUUGGAAAACAACAUUCUGACUUUAUGAAAAAAAUCAUGUUUACUAUUUUCCUCAGACAGUAGUAUAAAGUGGUCUGUAGGCUAUACAUGAAAAUAUAUGGAUAUCUUUACGUAAAUAUACGUAGGCCACCUUUAUAAUUUAGUUAAAAUUAUAAAAAUAUAUAAAAUGUAGUUAUUUUAAUUUAUAAUUCAUCAUGUCCCAUCAUGUCCUUGGCUUUCAAGAGUUGGAUACUCACUCGUCAAUAUCGAAAGUAGUAUGUGGUGUGGCCACAAGCUGCUUUUGUAAUACAGACAUCUCAACCUCAUGGAUUGAGACAGAUUUGCCAGUUCUUGCUGUUAAUAUGUUACUCCACUCUUUCACCAAGGCAUUUACAAGUUCUCAAACGUCUGUGGGGACAUAUGGUUACGUGGUUUGACACUGCAAGAACGAACAGCUGUCCUUCCUGUCUCCCUGUACCUGUUUAUUGGACUCACAGUUAACUUUGUCCACAUGCCUCCUUUAGCAGGAUGGCAUGUUCAUUCUGGUGACCAGAGAUCCUGGGCCUCUUCUCCAUGGUGUUUUUCAGAGUCAGCAGAACUGAAGAAAUGGCCUUUCAAAAAAGACUAAGAUGCAGACGUUCAAGGAAGGUGCAUGAGAUCAAGCUAAAAAGGAAAAUGACUCCCAGGACAAUUGUUUGAGACUUGUGCUAACCGUCUUUGUGUGUUGAAGAGAGGUUAAUCCAGAUGAAGAGAUGGACAUAUAGACAGACGCAGAGACGCAGGGGAAUAGGAGCUCUCCACGAUGAGCCCUGACUUUUCAAAAGCCAUCACGUCUGAACAAAAGGUCCCGUUUCAUUUUCUUUCUGUUUGUUUGUCUCUUCCUUCAUUUUUUCAGCACCUUGUAAUCAUAGCCUUUGUUAGCAUUCGGUUCAGGUUGAACCUGUUGUGUUACUGUGGGCACUUUUUGCUUCUCUACCUCCUCCGCUUUAUACACGUUUGCCCCUUUCUCUCCUGUGCCCCAUCCUUUCAGCUGCAGGCGUGUUUUACAGUGUACUAAAGACAUAAUGACACGUACCAUUUGUCUUAGACGAGUCGCUUCUCUGUUCUUCAGCAGGUGUUUUGCUGUUAAAGCUCAGCAGGUGUAUUCUGCAUUCUUUCACACCAUGACUCAUCUUCACUGGUUAAUCCACGGAUCUUCUCUAGAUUAUAAUCUUCUUCCUGAUUUCCUUGCAUGGGAUUAAAUACAGUAGUAUACAGAGGAGGUCACUAAUUAUGAUGCAUUAAAAGAGAGGAAGUCAUUAAUUAUGAUGCAUUAAAAGAAACAGUUUUAAAAAAUAGUUUUAGGCGGUCCUAAUCUAAUUUAUAAAUUAGAAUUAAUAUAAAGUUUGUGGAUUUUGAGAAAUAAGAAACAAAGAAACAUAAAAUGAUCAAUAAAUAUUUAAGAUUUUGCACUAUAUAGGCCACUGCACUGUAAAAAAUUAUUGUUGGAUUAACUUAAAGUAAAAUUUUGAGUUCACUGAAAAUAAAAAUUUGAGUUAAUACAAUGAAGGAGAUUGGUUGAAUCAAAAGAAACUCAAAAUAGUAUGUUAUCUGAACCACAUAAAUGAUCUAAGCUGAUUUAACAACAACAACAACAACAAAAAUGAAAAUAUUUUUUUGCAGUGUGAUCAAAUAAGUAAAUCUGUGACCUUGAUCGUGUAAAGUCAAAGCAAAAAGAAGAAAUACCAAAUACUAAUAAAUCCUGAAAUUCAGGUAAAAUUCAUAUCAUAGUUUCACUGAAUCGAUCAUUUGAAAUAAAUUACAUAUUAUAAUCAUAUAUUAUUUAUUUAUGUAUUUAUAAAUAAAUAAAAUGUGACUUACAGGCAUUUUCACUUUGGACUACAGGGCUUAUAUAUAAUGGAUUUAUAAAAAAUAAAAAUAAAAAAUAUUUGUCUUCCGGGUUAUAAUUUGAGUUGUGGUCAGCAUGGUAAAUAACAUAACCUGUGUCAUCCAAAUCAGCAAAAUUCUCUUGUUUGAUUUCUUAUUUUAAAUGUGAAAACAAAACAAAAAUGAUCAUGUCUGAUCAGACAGGGAGGAAUACAACUUUCCUCAUUGACACCUGCUGAACUUGCACAAAAUGCUUCAAAUUAAAUAGUGGGGGAGUUGGAGGAAAUGUUAGCUAACUGUUCAUUUUUUAUUUUAUUAACAAAAUAAAUACAUGCAUAAAGUGUGAACUCAAAUUUUGAGUAAUGGGGUAGAUUGUAACAACAGCACUCUUAGUACCACGGUUUAGAUGUUAUUUUCAUUUAAUAUUUUGAAUUUGUUUCAUUUUUUAUUUUUAUUUUAAAGUUCUAGUAAUUUUGUUGUGCGUUUUUUUUUAUUUGUAUCAGUUAUGUGUGUGUGUGUGUGUGGG